rnacentral:rRNA from 1 species
AUGAACGCUGGCGGCGUGCCUAAUACAUGCAAGUCGAGCGAACGGACGAGAAGCUUGCUUCUCUGAUGUUAGCGGCGGACGGGUGAGUAACACGUAGAUAACCUACCUAUAAGACUGGGAUAACUUCGGGAAACCGUAGCUAAUACCGGAUAAUAUUUUGAACCGCAUGGUUCAAAAGUGAAAGACGGUCUUGCUGUCACUUAUAGAUGGAUCCGCGCUGCAUUAGCUAGUUGGUAAGGUAACGGCUUACCAAGGCAACGAUGCAUAGCCGACCUGAGAGGGUGAUCGGCCACACUGGAACUGAGACACGGUCCAGACUCCUACGGGAGGCAGCAGUAGGGAAUCUUCCGCAAUGGGCGAAAGCCUGACGGAGCAACGCCGCGUGAGUGAUGAAGGUCUUCGGAUCGUAAAACUCUGUUAUUAGGGAAGAACAUAUGUGUAAGUAACUGUGCACAUCUUGACGGUACCUAAUCAGAAAGCCACGGCUAACUACGUG